GGGAAACUGCCUGAUGGAGGGGGAUAACUACUGGAAACGGUAGCUAAUACCGCAUAACGUCGCAAGACCAAAGAGGGGGACCUUCGGGCCUCUUGCCAUCAGAUGUGCCCAGAUGGGAUUAGCUAGUAGGUGGGGUAAUGGCUCACCUAGGCGACGAUCCCUAGCUGGUCUGAGAGGAUGACCAGCCACACUGGAACUGAGACACGGUCCAGACUCCUACGGGAGGCAGCAGUGGGGAAUAUUGCACAAUGGGCGCAAGCCUGAUGCAGCCAUGCCGCGUGUGUGAAGAAGGCCUUCGGGUUGUAAAGCACUUUCAGCGAGGAGGAAGGUGGUGAACUUAAUACGUUCAUCAAUUGACGUUACUCGCAGAAGAAGCACCGGCUAACUCCGUGCCAGCAGCCGCGGUAAUACGGAGGGUGCAAGCGUUAAUCGGAAUUACUGGGCGUAAAGCGCACGCAGGCGGUUUGUUAA
rnacentral:rRNA from 1 species